rnacentral:lncRNA from 1 species
CUCAUGAGAUCUGAUGGUUUUAUAAGGAAAAAUCCCCUUCGCUUGGUUCUCACUCUCUCUUUGCCUGCUGCCAUCCAUGUUAAGAUAUGACUUGCUCCUCGUCUUCCGCCAUUAUUGUGAGGCCUCCCCAGCCAUGUGAAACUGAGGAAGAGGCAGAGCAAGACGGCUCAAUAGAAGCCUCCACUAAUUGUCCUCCCCACUGGAACACCAAAUUGAACAACUAUCCACACAAAGAAGCACCUUCGUAAGAACCAAAAAUCAGGUGCCAGACAGAAAGUCAUCUCUCUGCUCAACUGAGACAAAUGCAGAUUCAUUGAGCCAGACUAAGGCAUAAGUGACUAUUCCUCUAUGUUCCCCAACAUGUAAAUUGUGGAUUCAGUGAAAGGCUGAUUGAAGAGUCAGAAGAAUGUAACUUUUUGUCUCUUAUCUACCUGGAACCACACCUUAUCUACCUGGAACUGUCCCCUCCCCGCCCCCCCAAUCCCGCCCUGUUUUGAGUUGUCCUGCCUUUCUGGACCAAAUCAAUGCACAUCUUACACAUAUUGAUUGAUGUCUCAUAUCUCCCUAAAAUGUGUAAAAGUGAGCUGUACCCUGACCACCUUGAGCACAUGUUGCCAGGACACAGCCUCCUGAGGGUACAUCUUUAACCUUGGCAAAAUAAACUUUCUAAAUUGAUUAAGGCCUGUCUCAGACACUUUGAGUUGACAAUACACAAAAACUAAAAAGGAAGAAAUUAAAAGAUACCACCAGAGAAAAUCGCAUUCACUAAAAGGAAGACCACAAAACAACCAGAAAACAAAUAACAAAAUGGCAGGCAUAAGUCCUUACUUAUCAAAAAUAGCAUUGAAUGUAAAUGAAAUAAACUCUCCAAUCAAAAGACAUACCAUGGCUGAAUGGAUUUAAAAACAAGACCCAAUGAUCUUUUGCCUACAAGAAACACAUUUCACCUAUAAAUAUAUGUAUAGACUAAAAAUAAAGGGAUGGAAAAAUAUAUUCCCUGCAAGUGGAAACCAAAAAUGAGUAGGAAUAGCUAUACUUACAUCAGAUAAAAUAGAUUUCAAGA